UUUAAUGUGAGUUAAUUAGUAAUCCAAAUGCUGAUGUUCUUCAGUGUCUGAGCAUUUUCUUUUGUGAUUGAAUAGCCACCGUGAACAAACAUGGAGGAGCAUGUGACAGGUAAAAUAAUCCAGUAACGUGGUGGAGACAGAUGCAAUGAGAGUGGCAACGAGUUGACAGAUAAUGUUGGAAAAGUGGGAAAGGCUUCAGGGAGCUUCAUAAGGCAUUUGCCUCCAUUCGUCUACACACACAAAAAUAUCCGUUCCAAAAGAAACCAGAAGGUCUGGCAACUCUCUACAUAUGUGACCAUCUCUUUUUUUGUGUGCCUUGGGAAGGACAGCUCUCUUCUAAGUGGCAGGCACUAUUGGAUCCCAUCCAAGAUAUUACAUCACAUUUAAUUGUCAUGUCU